AUUGAACGCUGGCGGCAGGCCUAACACAUGCAAGUCGAACGGUAACAGGAAACAGCUUGCUGUUUCGCUGACGAGUGGCGGACGGGUGAGUAAUGUCUGGGAAACUGCCUGAUGGAGGGGGAUAACUACUGGAAACGGUAGCUAAUACCGCAUAACGUCGCAAGACCAAAGAGGGGGACCCUCGGGCCUCUUGCCAUCGGAUGUGCCCAGAUGGGAUUAGCUUGUUGGUGGGGUAACGGCUCACCAAGGCGACGAUCCCUAGCUGGUCUGAGAGGAUGACCAGCCACACUGGAACUGAGACACGGUCCAGACUCCUACGGGAGGCAGCAGUGGGGAAUAUUGCACAAUGGGCGCAAGCCUGAUGCAGCCAUGCCGCGUGUAAGAAGAAGGCCUUCGGGUUGUAAAGUACUUUCAGCGGGGAGGAAGGGAGUAAAGUUAAUACCUUUGCUCAUUGACGUUACCCGCAGAAGAAGCACCGGCUAACUCCGUG
rnacentral:rRNA from 1 species